rnacentral:rRNA from 1 species
AUUGAACGCUGGCGGCAUGUCUUACACAUGCAAGUCGAACGGCAGCACGGGUGCUUGCACCUGGUGGCGAGUGGCGAACGGGUGAGUAAUACAUCGGAACGUACCUUAUCGUGGGGGAUAACGCAGCGAAGGCUGUGCUAAUACCGCAUACGCCCUGAGGGGGAAAGCGGGGGAUCGCAAGACCUCGCGCGAUUAGAGCGGCCGAUGCCUGAUUAGCUUGUUGGUGGGGUAAAAGCCCACCAAGGCGACGAUCAGUAGCUGGUCUGAGAGGACGAUCAGCCACACUGGGACUGAGACACGGCCCAGACUCCUACGGGAGGCAGCAGUGGGGAAUUUUGGACAAUGGGGGCAACCCUGAUCCAGCAAUGCCGCGUGAGUGAAGAAGGCCUUCGGGUUGUAAAGCUCUUUUGUCAGGGAAGAAACACCGGCUCUAACACAGUCUGGGAAUGACGGUACCUGAAGAAUAAGCACCGGCUAACUACGUGCCAGCAGCCGCCGUAA